rnacentral:sRNA from 1 species
UUAGACACAAGCUCUAAAACGACUAAGAACGCCCUCUCCUUUGUAAUUAUUGAUCAUGUAAAGUUUUGCUCAAUACAUAGGAUAACAUAUUACAUGUAUAUUGGAGACAUAAGAAUCUAUGUUUUGCUGACGUUAUAUAUAGUGCCUUGUAACCCCCCCCCCCAAAAAAAAAACAACAAAAACACAAAAAAACAACCCGCAUCAAUCCGCAUCACACAAGUUUUAUACAGAUUAUUGUUAUUUAUGAAAUCAAUUUGUCAUAAUUUAUCAAUUUAAUGAUAGAGAAUUGAAUUAUAAGAAAAGAACUCAAGGAUUACAUGUACAGAACUCGUAUUCCUAAAAACUGGUUAUUACCGCUUUUUUAUAAACCGAUUUGCGGUUCAUAAAGUAUAUACAGUCGAACUCCGGUAUAUUCUCGUAUAGGAUAUGUACUAACUACUAAGUUUAUUUCUAUAAAGACAUAUAAUGUAUAUAUGAGUAUGUAGAAUACUGUAUGUAGAUAAGUAUGUGUGUACUUGUUAUAAUGUCUGUUUUCAUUUCCAUCCUGCAAAUCUUUCUCUCUUGUGAUGUUUUACAUGCACAUGUCUGUGACAUUGUAUAUAAAUAGGAAGCAACUGCACAAAAUAAGCUUUUUCUUUAAAAUGCCAGUCUAUAGAAAUAACGUAUGUUGGUUGUUUAAUGCAGCUAUAUUUUAUAUUACCAAAUGUAUCUGUUUCGAAAUGUACAUGUAUUGCCUUUUAAUGCCAUAUAUGUCUGUGUACUUUAUAUAUGAAUUCACUGAUUUAGUCCUUAUUCAUACUAUGGCUACAAAAUCUGUCGUUUUGUUUUAAUAAACUAUAUAAUGUUCC